GGCUGCUUAGUUCAACGGAUAGAACGGAGGUUUCCUAAACCUUAGAUAGUGGUUCGAUUCCACUAGCGGCUA
rnacentral:tRNA from 1 species